CAGUAGCCGCGGGAAUACGUAGGUGGCAAGCGUUGUCCGGAAUUAUUGGGCGUAAAGGGCUCGCAGGCGGUUUCUUAAGUCUGAUGUGAAAGCCCCCGGCUCAACCGGGGAGGGUCAUUGGAAACUGAGAAACUUGAGUGCAGAAGAGGAGAGUGGAAUUCCACGUGUAGCGGUGAAAUGCGUAGAGAUGUGGAGGAACACCAGUGGCGAAGGCGACUUUCUGGUCUGUAACUGACGCUGGGGAGCGAAAGCGUGGGGAGCGAACAGGAUUAGAUACCCCAGUAGUCCCUGUCUCUUAUAC
rnacentral:rRNA from 1 species